rnacentral:lncRNA from 1 species
UCGGAUUGGAGUUGAACCUGGCUGAAAGAAGUUCGGAAGGGAUUCGGGGAGUAGCUGAUAGUCGUAGAAAGUCGGCUGGCGGCGGAGCUUAAUGAGCGCUUAGGGCGGUUUAACAGAUAACUGGGGGAACUCAUGUUGAAGGAGUUUGGGUGGUGUAGUGGGAGUUUGUCUGUCGGGGGAAUUCAGUCAGUACUGUGGGAAUCCGGCUGUUGAAGAAGUCCGGGGAGAUACCGUCUGCGGUCGAAAGCUGGAGGGGUC